rnacentral:rRNA from 1 species
UACGGGGGGAGCAAGCGUUGUUCGGAUUUACUGGGCGUAAAGGGCGCGUAGGCGGCCACCGCAAGUCAGUUGUGAAAUCUCUGGGCUUAACCCAGAACGGUCAGCUGAUACUGCGGGGCUAGAGUGCAGAAGGGGCAACUGGAAUUCUCGGUGUAGCGGUGAAAUGCGUAGAUAUCGAGAGGAACACCUGCGGCGAAGGCGGGUCGCUGGGCUGACACUGACGCUGACAGCGCGAAAGCUAGGGGAGCGAACGGG